ACUUAAAUAGCUUAAAAUAGAGCAAAUCUUUGAAGAAGAUUAGGUGAAAAAUCUUUAAGUA
rnacentral:tRNA from 1 species